UACGGAAGGGGCAAGUGUUGUUCGGAAUCAUUGGGCGUAAAGGGCGCGCAGGUGGCUCUGUAUGUCUGCCGUGAAAGCAUACAGCUCAACUGUAUUGUGUCGGUAGAAACUGCAGGACUUGAGGCUGGGAGGGGCUGGUGGAAUUCCCUGUGUAGCGGUGAAAUGCGUAGAGAUGGGGGAGAACACUCGUGGCGAAGGCGGCCAGCUAGACCAGUUCUGACACUGAGGCGCGACAGCGUGGGGAGCAAACAGG
rnacentral:rRNA from 1 species